UCAUGUUUGGUUAAACUAUAGUUCUUAUAACUAGGGAAAAGAAAUAACAAUAUUCCCCAACAUCCAUAUGUAUUUGGACAGUGACAUUAUUCAAAACAUGCUGUAAUUUCUAAAUGGUUCAUUUGAAACACAUUCUUAUAGCUGACAGUCUGCACUUUAACCCCAUUGUCAUUUUAUCUUUGAAAAGCCAAUGUGCUGGACUACAGAGCCAAAACAAAAAUGUUGUCAUUGCCCAAAUACUUACAGAUUGCAUCUUGUGCUGGUUUAAGUUACUUUGUAUAAAACCAAACUGGUCAGGCUAUAUACAUUUUGCCCAGAUUGAUACAAUAAUUUUGUCCACAGAGGAAACAUCCAUUAAAGAUGACAUACUACAAUAUGCUCACCUCUGCAACAACAAACAAACGAACCAAGGAACUAUCAAACAGCUCAACUUGCAAGCAAGCAAAGAUGUCUGAAAUGAUGGAAGUGGCAGGAGCCAGGUGCAUCUCACAGGCAACCGUUGACAAGCUUGCCAUUCUCUGUGGUCGAACAACUAGCUUUUAAAGAGUUGGUAACCACUCUGCAUCCUCAAUGCAAAGUUAUCUCCAGACCUACUGUUCGUUCAAGAAUACAUGAAGCUGCCAAUCACAUGAAGAAGACGGUUAUGGCACACCUUGGCAGGGUAAAUUAUGUUGCCACCACCACUGAUUGUUGGACAGCUCAUCAAAGGAGUUAUAUCGGGGUCACAUGUCACUGGAUAGAUGAAGAAACUCUGGUGAGACGUUCUGCUGCACUCACUUGCAAGAGAUUGAGAGGUUCCCACACAUUUGAUGUGUUUGCAGGUGCCCUCGAUGACAUCCAUUGUGCAUAAAGGAUCAGGGAGAAAGUGGUAAGAACCACAACAAAGUGGAUCAAACUUUAUCAAAGCAUUCAAUGUUUUCAGUGAGCAGAGCCAGGCAGUCGAGUCAGCAGACCAAGACUCAGAUGCUGAAGAGCCAGCAGAGCAGGUUGAAUACCAAGACUCCUAUUCCAUCCUGGAAAAUGACAGUGGCCUAGACUAUCAACUCCCUCAGCAUCAACAGUGUGCAUGUCACCUGCUGAACCUCAUUUCAACAACAGAUUCUGCGUUGGCAGAAACAAAUAGUGAAAGCUACAAAAGGUUGUCCGGGUGGUCUUUUGCCAUAUGCCAAGCCAUGUGGAAUAAAACGGUCCGGUCAACCUUAGCUGCUGAAGUUGUAGAGAAUGAGUGCAAACUGCAGAUGAUCCAUCCAAAUCAAACACGUUGGAACUCAACUUACCUGGCUGUGGAGAGGAUCACACGUAUAAUACAAGAGAAGGGGAAGGAUGCCAUAAGAAAUAUGUGUGAAGAAUUAAGUGAAAAUGCUGAGCCCGGCAGAAAUGUCCUUCUUGAAUGAGUACUGCAAAGUGAUGAAGCCUUGAACGUUCUAGUCAAAUGCGCUUUGGAGAAAUGAUGGAGGAGCCACAGCUUAUUGCUGCUGCAAUCCUUCUGCGAAAGUUCAAGACUUCUUGCACUGACAAAACUGAUGUCAUCACUGCCGGUUUGGUGUACCUGAAGAAUCAUCUUGACACAAACACACAGGACGAGACUGAGCAUCUAAGGCAGCAUUCAUUGAUAAAGAGGGUUUCUUCUCAUCACUGACAACCAAACGGUCAGAAGGUACAGGGCAGCUGGAUGGGUAUCUUGCUGGUCCAUCGGACAAAAUAGAUUUACUUCAUUUGUUUUCCGUACAUAAAAAAGUUGUCCCUCAAACUCAACACAGGCCUGCCUGCAUCUGCCGCCUGUGGGCGUAUUUUUAGCUGUGCUGGACUACUCUUCACUGCAAAGCGAGCCAGGAUAGACUCAAUUAACUUAGGAAAUCAGCUCCUACUGAAACUGAAUGGCAAAUUCAGAGAGAAGUGAAUCAUUUAAGGGUUCGAUAGGUAGUUCCACAAAAAAAUAUUCCUUUUGAACAUUCCUUUGAACAUUUGUAUAUGUGAAGUUGAAGAUUUAAUAUUAAAAUCAGCUGUGCUGGAUCUUA